GAUGAACGCUGGCGGCGUGCCUAAUACAUGCAAGUCGAGCGAACAGACGAUGAGCUUUCUCCUCUGACGUUAGCGGCGGACGGGUGAGUAACACAUAGAUAACCUACCUGUAUGACUGGGAUAACUUCGGGAAACCGCAGCUAAUACCGGAUAAUAUAUUGCACCUCUUGGUUCAAUAGUGAAAGACGGUUUUGCUGUCACUUAUAGAUGGAUCCGCGCCGCCUUAGCUAGUUUGUAAGGUAACGGAUUACCAAGGCGAUGAUGCGUAGCCGAACUGAGAGGAUGAUGGGCAACUGGGCAAAUGAGACAAUGACCAGAACCGUACGGGAGGCAGGAGCAGGAAUCCUACCGGAAGGAGCGAUAGCGUGUAGGACAAAAGCAGCGAGAGUGAUAAAGGGCUAUGGAGCGUAAAGCUUUGUUAUUAGGGAAUAACAAAUGUGUAAGUAAAGAUGCAAGUAUGGCGGUUACCUAAGAAGAAAGCAACGCCUAAUUACGU
rnacentral:rRNA from 1 species